AGAGGGAUCCCUGGGGGGAGAACGUGGGCUGGGGGACCCGCAGGGGAGAGGGCAGGCCACCGGGACCUCUGCCAGGAGUAAGUGGGCCAGGGAGACCCCCUGUGGGGGAGGAUGGAUGAAGAACCGAGUCAGCACAAGGUGGUCCAGGGAACGGGGGAAUGCAUGGGAAGGGGGGCACCACGAAAGAAAGUGAUCUGAGGACACAGGGGUAGGCAGGCCCCCGAGACCCCCGGGUGUGGGAUGAGACCCUCAGGAUGUCCUUCCCGUUCAGACGGCCAAGAAACAACUACUUGGCUCCAACUGUCUUCUUACCCAGCAGAGGGACAGGGGGCAGCUGGGGUUUUCUCUUGCUUUUCCUCCCUCCUCCUUUUUGGGCUGGGUACAGCCAGCCAUCCCGACCAGGAUCCUUGACUCUCCUGACUCUCAGCCCCCAGAGGAGGACAGAACUCAGGGGAGCCAGGAGUGCGCUGGCACAGGCAGCUCCGUGGAGGUGCUCCCAGCUCUUGAGCCAAAACGCAGCCCAGCGUGGCCAGCCGCCCAUCCCCAGCAGAUGACCCUGGACCACAGCUCAGCAGUGCCAGCGACGGGGCCUUAGCUGGAAGGCUCCAGCAUGAGGACCCCCUGCUCCACAGACAGGUACCCAGAUGGGUGCCAUUCUCCAGAACACGGAGGCGGAAGCUGCUUGGUCCCUCCCGAGGAGCUGGCCGGCUGGCGGGAGGGAGGAGCAGGCCGGGAGCUCAGACUUCCGGGGACCUGAGGCCAUUCCACCUGCUCUGCCCUCCCCGUCUGCACGUGUCCACUGCACCUGGAAGUGUCCGCAGACAUGCUUUCCUGUUACCCGAGGCUCCUCCGAGGCUGCGGGCCGACUACAGACUAAAGGACCUGCAUGUCGGUGAACUGCGGAGUUGGACCCUCUGUGACUGGCUUACUUCACCUGGCACGGUGUCCUCCAGGUUCAGCUGUGCUGUAACAGGUGUCAGGAUUCCUUGCUUUGAAAGACUCAGUACUGUUCCAUUCCGUGUAUAACCCACGUCUGAUUUGUCCAUUCAUUGCCGGAGGACUCUUGAGUUGUUCCCAUCUUUCGGCUGUUGUGAGUAAUGCUGCUAUGAAUGUGGGUGUGCAAAUAUCUGUUCGUGUCCCUACUUUUACUUCUGUGUGUAUACGCAGAACUGGGAUCGGUGAACCAUGGGGUAGCUGUAUUUCUAACAUUUUGAGAACCCUCCACACUGUUUUCCAGGGUGGCUGCACGUUGGUUUGCUUUCCCACCAACGUGCACAAGGGUUCUAGUUUCGCCAUAUCCUCACCAACCUUGUUUUCUGGUUGUGUAUGUGCGUGUUCAUUGUAGCUGUCCUAAGGUGGGGCUCACUGUGAGUUUUGUUGUUUUUUAAAUUUUGAAGUAAAGAUUUUUAUUUUGAUUCAAUAUAAUGCUAGCUUUUGAUGGCAAAAACUUGUUUUCAGUGCCACUCCCUGAUCAUUAUGGGUUUGAUUUACAUUUUAAAUGUUGGGCCAUCUGUAUGUUUUCUUUGGAGCAAUGUCCAUUUGAGGACUUCCCUCAUUUUUUAUUUUGGCUGGGUUUUUUUUGUUGUUGUUGACUUGUAGGUGGUCUUUAUAUAUUCUGAAUAUUAACCCCUAAUCAAAGAGACGAUUUGUAAAUGUUUCCUUGCGUUCUAGCAGUUGUCUUUGCACUCUGUUGAUCAGUUGUGUCCUUUGCCGCACAAACAUUUUUAAUUUUGAGGAAAUCCAGUUCAACUCUUUUUUUCUU